ACUGUAAAAAAGGUCGGUUUUCAUAAUUCCAUCUCCAAUACAAUCUCUACUGGCUGUUAGUUUGUCUUGUUAGAUAUAAAGGAGAAGCAGAGCAUGCUCUCAACCUCAAUUUGCACUCAAUUUAAGCAAUCUAAACUUGGUCUAAGGGUAAGCCUUGCAAGCAAACCUAAGUAAACAAAUGCCCUUUUAAGUAUACAAUAUUCCUCCUAAUAAGAAAAUGGCAUGGUCUCAAUCUCUUGCUCAAUCAUAAGCCUCUAGGUUUGGUUACUUAACUGCAGCUACUUUCCCAUGUUUUGUUAUGGUCUUGAUGGCAUCCAUAUGAGAGGAUGUUGACAUACCAACUAAUACAGAGUGAUUUAAUUGUUUAUUUUGCAGCUUCAGGAACAAAUAGACCAUAAAUUCAAAGUAUGUUAGGCUUCACAUGAAAAAAAUAUUCAUGUGAAUUCAGAUUCACAUGAAUCUGAAUUGAAGUUUCAACUCUUAAGCUCUUCUCUGAAAGUAUACAACCAUGGAAAGAUGCCUUGCAAAAGAACAUCUUCACAAUUUGCACCACUGAACCUGAAGUUAAAUCCUCACCUCCAAAAGAACCAGCAUUGUGAGCCUACUUUAAAAUGAAGACAAUACUGAAUCAGUGUUGAUGAGAAUAGCAGUAAGAGUGGAAGAGGCAAACACAGCAUUGCGUUGUGGCUCAAACUAAACCAUAUUUUUUUUUUUUUGGAAGGCUGUCGAAUCUGUCGUUUUGGUGAUUGAUGAGGAAGGAGUAGAGUCCUUGAUUGCAGAACUUCUUAAAGGAGCUGGAGAUAGCCAGGUUAACUCAAAUUGGUCGGAGUGAUAUAUUGCUGUUGUUUAUUUUCCCAUUAAUCUACUCAUAUGGACUUCUUGCUGGAGAUGGCCAGGUGCAGAUCAUGUCCAAGCUGCACAAAAGUAUAUUACAGGUUUGGAUGCAAGAAGACUAUCAAAAUUCUUUGAGAACAGGUACAUUUUGUUUGGACCCUUUCAGUUCUUGUUGGCCUUGCGCCAACUGCAGCUUGCAAUCUUGGUAAUAUGGGCAUUUUGUUUUUUACAAGAUAUAAUUAUUUUUCAACGACUAUGCUACCUAUUAAGUAUAGAUGGUAGAUAUUAAACAUGGCCACAUAUUCAUUGUGCUAUUUGAUAUAUAGCCAAUGAAGUGAACCUCAGGUUAUUCAACUUUUUUUAUAUAUUUAUGUAGGAGCCUUACUAAUAUGGUCAUUGGCUUCUUGUUACUGGUGUAUUCUUGGUAGCUGAUGAAACUAAUCUUUGUCAGUUAGAAGCUAAUUAGUGUUUUUAAGAAUAUUAUUCAGUGCAUCAAGAUUGGAAGCCACUGAACAAUAGUGAUUUUUUUUUCUUUCAAUUUUCCAUCCCUUAGCGGAAGAUCACAAAAGAGUUUCAGGCGGCACCCAAAAUUUAUGGCAACAAAGAGUUUGAUGGUGUGUGAUGGAUGAAGUAAUGGGUUUAUCUCUGGACUUUUUUUUUAUAUAAUUUUGUUGUGAUUUUUCAGUUUGUGAACAGCCUCAGCUUGUCGAUGAUAUUAUAACAAAAUGAAUGUGGUGUUUUGGAUUAUUACAUUAAA